AUUUUUUCAUUUCUCACGAAAACUUAACACUUUUCAAGCUGUGUUCUGGAAACCAUAGCAUCCUACCAAGGAUAUGAACAGGAAUUAACCAUUUUGAAACGUGGAAAAACGCAAGUCAGAAAGGCAAAUUUGGAGUGCACAUUUAAGCACCGUGCAAAUAACAGGACACUCUGGCCCAAGAACUCUUCAAGUACUCCCGAAUGGGACACGAAUCCCCACCGUGGAGGCCUUGCAUUUCAGGUUUCCUUCCAGAUGGUGUAAGACACAGAGUUAUUUUUGUGUUAUUUAGAAUACAGUUGGCUUCAAAUAACAAAAGACUUAAGAAAAUACAAAAAC
rnacentral:lncRNA from 1 species